UGAAUGGCACCCCAUCAAGCUUUCUGUCCUGAGGAAAACAUAAUUAUUGGGUAAAAUAAUAAGGUCACUUUCAACUUUCAAAAUAUCCAUGAUUAUUUUGCAAAUCUAUAUAUUCACAGGGGAAUUUCUUUAAGCAAUCUUUACCGAAACCCUAAGUCCCUGGCCCUUCCUGGCUUGAACCCUAAGAACUCCGAUUUCUGCACUUCUGUGCUCCCUCGUGGCUCUUGCAUGAACUCCCUCUCUCCUCAUGCAGGACUGUAAUCCGUUCUCUGAAAAUAUGCUUGAAACCAAGUCCCUGGCCUGGAGAGAACAGAACGAGGAAAUGAAAUCUAAGGCUUGUGCAGAGCGCCCUCUUGAGGCUGCCUUUGUAAAUACGCCAAAGAUUGUGCUAUGAAUUCAUUGCAACAGUUCCAGGGUAGGGGGCUAAUACAAAUCAAUCCCAGAAGAUAUACUGGCUAAAUUAUGGAUGUAAGCAUCUUCUUACUAGAAAUAGAUUGUAUCUCCCAAAAUUCAACAUAAUGUAUAUCAGAAAAAAAAACCCAGUGCCUGACUAAAUGCGUCCCUUACAAUAAAACACAAACGUGGUUCCAGUUUUGACAUCCCUGUUAGUUUUAGAUAUCGUCUCUUGGUGUGAAGAGAAAAGGGCAAGCCUUCUCCAGAGACAGGUGGUAGCUGUGGGGAUGUCACACAGUGGUGGAGGGACAGCCUGCUAGGUCAGAGGACCGCGUUGCCUGUCGAUUCCGCCACCUGGAAGCUGCGUGAUCCUGAAGUUUUUCAGCCCCUCAGAGUCGCGUGCAGAAUGGGGGCGAUGAGAGAGUGACGUCAGAGGGUUGGGAAGAGGCUGAACCCUCUUUACAGGCACACACAGCCGAUGGCACGGGGUAGGGUGCAGAGGAACUCAAGUGCCUGGUGCCAUUAAUAUCACCUACACUUACAAGAUUCUUUGGGGACGGGCAGGUGGGACAUUGUUUUGUUUAAACCACUGAAUCAACUUCUUGUGUCCCUGAUUACUGUGCCCUUUCAACAUCAGGCGGAUGAUCUCUUUUCCCUAGAUUUUUCACCAUCAUUCUGGCUGUCAUCUGUCUAAUUAAAACAAUAGCAACUUCCCUCAGGUGACCUGCAUGCCGUACUUGAACAGCGAGGUCACAGUUCCUCCAAAGUACUCAUUGGCUUAGGUCUCCACCUCUGCCCACGUAUUCAAACGGAAAACCUGGCAAGGAACUGAGGGCAAGUCUUCAGGACUUGAAUGAUCUUGGAGAAACAAGAAGGAAGAAAGAGGCAGGCGGAUGGUGGCCUUUGUGUCUAAAGGAGGAGACGGUGGGUGUUGGAAACAUCCCAGGAGGCAGCCACACUGGAGAAUGGAGGAGUGUCUGGUGGAGGGAAGGCUGAGGCUCAGUGGUACAGAGCUUGCCUGGAAGAUCACUGGGAUCACAGGGAGACCUGGGUCUUGUCGGGGCACAGUGCGUGUUCUGCCCACAUUGUGACCGGGAGGACCGAGGACGCCGUGGAGAGGAGGGGGUCAGACUGCAGAGAAGUCAGCAGAAGCCACGGUGACCAAGACAUCCUUUCCCUGAGAAGGAGGACGAGCCCAGUGUGAGAGGAAAUGCUCGGUGGCUGGCUAAUGUCAGUGGCACCAGGACUCAGGCCAAGCAUCGUGGUCAGAUGCUGCUGGAGUCAAGUCAGAGAUCCAGAAGCUUCCAGCCCGUCCCUAGAGCCUCCCAGAGCAGAUGAGGCUGCCUAUGUGCUGCCCGCAGGCCCUCAGUGUUCAGCGAGAGGGAUCCUGCUCCCUCCUUGUGCUGCUUUCUGGUUCUCCUUUGGAGAUCUGAAGUGGUCAGACAGCUCCAGGCUGGGCCUGCAUGCCUGACCCUCUCCUUUUCUCUUCUGUCCAUCUGUCCUGGCUCUUACGAGGGUCUGGCCAGGUCCACCAUGGCGUCAUCUCCAGGCCACCAGCUCUGUGCUAAGGCUCAGUCUAACACAGCCUCUAGGUCACCCCCGCGAAGACUCCCUUCUCUGCCUCCACCUACAGACUGACCAGUGGACCCGCAGUCCUUUUUGCUGCCAUUCCCCUGGCUCUUCAAGACCCCCAGACGACCACUGUGCGCUCCUUUGCCUUGAAGACCACUUCCUCUAACUCAGAAAAUGGCGCAGGCCCAGCCCGUCAGGAAUCACCUCUGACUCCUUCCCCCAGGACCUCCAAAUCCUGCCCUCAGGAAGUCCUUCGGAGGCACCCUCUCUCACAUCUACCUUUGUCCUCUGGGGCAGCAACCUCGACUUGUGGGAAGAGCCUCUAGCUGGCCUCCCUACCUCCACCAUCUUUUCUCCCCAGGGCAGCAGAAGUGGCGGGAUGAAAGCCAUAAUGACCUCUCUCUCCUUUAACCCUCGCUGGGGCUGCUCCUCCCACCCACAAAUGAAUACAGACUUUGUGUCUCAGCCAGGAUGUCACCUCUGUAGGGUUUUUCCUUGGCGACACUUUUCAUUCCCACUCGCACAAUGUCACCCCAAUGAGUCUCCUUCGGCCUCUGGUUUGCUAAGGUCAUUGUACUUCUUAAACCUUCAA